CAGUCGCCGCGGUAACACGUAGGUGGCAAGCGUUGUCCGGAAUUAUUGGGCGUAAAGGGCUCGCAGGCGGUUUCUUAAGUCUGAUGUGAAAGCCCCCGGCUCAACCGGGGAGGGUCCUUGGAAACUGGGAAACUUGAGUGCAGAAGAGGAGAGUGGAAUUCCACGUGUAGCGGUGAAAUGCGUAGAGAUGUGGAGGAACACCAGUGGCGAAGGCGACUCUCUGGUCUGUAACUGACGCUGAGGAGCGAAAGCGUGGGGAGCGAACAGGAUUAGAUACCCCCGUAGUCCCUGUCUCUUAUAC
rnacentral:rRNA from 1 species